CGGAGGCGACCGCUAUUGGAGUUCGAUUAAGCCAUGCGAGUCUAGAGGCUUAGGCCUCGGCGUACCGCUCAGUAACACGUGGAUAACCUGCCCUGUUCAGGGGGAUAACCUCGCGAAAGUGAGAAUAAUACCCCAUAGUUCACCAUGCCUGGAACGGUGGGUGGACCAAAGCUCCGGCGGCAUAGGAUGGGCCUGCGGCGUAUCAGGUUGUAGGGAGUGUAAUGUACCCUCUAGCCCUCUACGCGUACGGGUGUUGAGAGACAUCGCCCGGAGAUGGAUUCUGAGACACGAAUCCAGACCCUACGGGGUGCAGCAGGCGCGAAAACUUGGCAAUGCGAGAAAUCGUGACCAGGGAACUCCAAGUGCAUCGGGUAAGACCGAUGCUUUUCUUGACUCUUCAAAGGUCUUGGAAUAAGGGGUGGGUAAGGACGGUGCCAGCCGCCGCGGUAAUACCGGCGCCCCAAGUGGUAGUCGCUUUUAUUGGGCCUAAAACGUCCGUAGCCGGUCUGGUACAUUCGUGGGUAAAUCAACCAGCUCAACUGGUUGAAUUCUGCGAGCACGGCCAGACUUGGGACCGGGAGAGGUGUGGGGUACUCUCAGGGUAGGGGUAGAAUCCUGUCAUCCUGAGAGGACCACCUGUUGCGAAGGCGCCACACUAGAACGGAUCCGACGGUCAGGGACGAAGCCUAGGGGCACGAACCGGAUUAGAUACCCGGGUAGUCCUAGGUGUAAACGCUGUGGACUUGAUGUUGGGGGCGCUCCGAGCGCACUCAGUGUCGAAGCGAAGGUGAUAAGUCCACUGCCUGGGGAGUACGGUCGCAAGGCUGAAACUUAAAGGAAUUGGCGGGGGAGCACCGCAACCUGAGGAUUGUGCGGUUUAAUUGGAUCAACGCCGGG
rnacentral:rRNA from 1 species